UACAGAGGGGGCAAGCGUUGUUCGGAAUUACUGGGCGUAAAGGGCGCGUAGGCGGCCGACUAAGUCAGACGUGAAAUCCCAUGGCUCAACCAUGGAACUGCGUCUGAUACUGGAUGGCUUGAGUUCGGGAGAGGGAAGUGGAAUUCCAGGUGUAGCGGUGAAAUGCGUAGAUAUCUGGAGGAACACCGGUGGCGAAGGCGGCGACCUGGGUCGACACUGACGCUGAGGCGCGAAAGCGUGGGGAGCAAACAGG
rnacentral:rRNA from 1 species